GACCAGACUCCUACGGGAGGCAGCAGUGGGGAAUAUUGCACAAUGGGGGAAACCCUGAUGCAGCGACGCCGCGUGAGUGAAGAAGUAUUUCGGUAUGUAAAGCUCUCUCAGCAGGGAAGAAAAUGACGGUACCUGACUAAGAAGCCCCGGCUAACUACGUGCCAGCAGCCGCGGUAAUACGUAGGGGGCAAGCGUUAUCCGGAUUUACUGGGUGUAAAGGGAGCGUAGACGGCAUGGCAAGUCAGAUGUGAAAGCCCGGGGCUCAACCCCGGGACUGCAUUUGAAACUGUCAGGCUGGAGUGCAGGAGAGGUAAGUGGAAUUCCUAGUGUAGCGGUGAAAUGCGUAGAUAUUAGGAGGAACACCAGUGGCGAAGGCGGCUUACUGGACUGUAACUGACGUUGAGGCUCGAAAGCGUGGGGAGCAAACAGGAUUAGAUACCCGCGUAAU
rnacentral:rRNA from 1 species